UAGGGAAUCUUCCGCAAUGGGCGAAAGCCUGACGGAGCAACGCCGCGUGAGUGAUGAAGGUCUUCGGAUCGUAAAACUCUGUUAUUAGGGAAGAACAAAUGCGUAAGUAACUAUGCACGUCUUGACGGUACCUAAUCAGAAAGCCACGGCUAACUACGUGCCAGCAGCCGCGGUAAUACGUAGGUGGCAAGCGUUAUCCGGAAUUAUUGGGCGUAAAGCGCGCGUAGGCGGUUUUUUAAGUCUGAUGUGAAAGCCCACGGCUCAACCGUGGAGGGUCAUUGGAAACUGGAGAACUUGAGUGCAGAAGAGGAAAGUGGAAUUCCAUGUGUAGCGGUGAAAUGCGCAGAGAUAUGGAGGAACACCAGUGGGGAAGGCGACUUUCUGGUCUGUAACUGACGCUGAUGUGCGAAAGCGUGGGGAUCAAACAGG
rnacentral:rRNA from 1 species